rnacentral:rRNA from 1 species
CGCAGCCUGAUGCAGCCAUGCCGCGUGUGUGAAGAAGGCCUUCGGGUUGUAAAGCACUUUCAGUCAGGAGGAAAGGUUAGUAGUUAAUACCUGCUAGCUGUGACGUUACUGACAGAAGAAGCACCGGCUAACUCCGUGCCAGCAGCCGCGGUAAUACGGAGGGUGCGAGCGUUAAUCGGAAUUACUGGGCGUAAAGCGUACGCAGGCGGUUUGUUAAGCGAGAUGUGAAAGCCCCGGGCUCAACCUGGGAACUGCAUUUCGAACUGGCAAACUAGAGUGUGAUAGAGGGUGGUAGAAUUUCAGGUGUAGCGGUGAAAUGCGUAGAGAUCUGAAGGAAUACCGAUGGCGAAGGCAGCCACCUGGGUCAACACUGACGCUCAUGUACGAAAGCGUGGGGAGCAAACAGGAUUAGAUACCCUGGUAGUCCACGCCGUAAACGAUGUCUACUAGAAGCUCGGAGCCUCGGCUCUGUUUUUCAAAGCUAACGCAUUAAGUAGACCGCCUGGGGAGUACGGCCGCAAGGUUAAAACUCAA